AACGAACGCUGGCGGCAUGCCUAACACAUGCAAGUCGAACGAGAACUUCGGGACUAGUGGCGCACGGGUGCGUCAAGUGUCGGAAGCUGCCCUUAGGUUUGGAAUACCUCUCCGACGGGGGUGCUAAUGCCGGAUAAUGUCUUCGGACCAAAGAUUGUUCGCGCUUGUUUGGGCCCGCGUUGGAUUAGCUUGUUGGUAGGGUAAAAGCCUAUCAAGGCGAAGAUCCCUAGCUGGUUAAAGAGAAAGAUCAGACACACUGGGACGGGGCAACGGCCCGGACUCUUACGGGAGGGGGCAGUGGGGAAUAUUGGAAAAUGGGGUGAAUCCUGAACCAGCAAGGCCGGUAAAGUGAUGAAGGCCGGAGGGUUGUAAAGCUCGUUUACCCGGGAUGAUAAUGACAGUACCGGAAGAAUAAGCACCGGCUAACUCCGUG
rnacentral:rRNA from 1 species